AAUAAUCUUGUCAUUCAACAAUAACGGUAGCCAGAGAAAACCACAUACAUUUCUGGUUGCAUUAACAAGAGAGGCAAGAAAAAACAGAACUGGCAAUUUGUAAAAGACGGUGUUACAGCAAUUCUGUUAUGAUUCGGACUUCAAAAAUGUUUUUGUAUAAUUUUUUUUUCAAUAUGGCGUGCGCAAAGACUAUAUAUUUUUUUUCAAAAUGUUUUGCAAAUGAUUAAACAAUGAUAGGGCGAAAUGUGCGAACAAUAAGAACGAAUUAUAUUAAAUUGAAUUAAGGCAUGAAUUAUGAAUGAAAUGAUAGAUUUGAAAGUAUAUUGUUAUGAAUAAGUUUUUAAUUGUAAAUUAAAUUAUUUAUAUGAAUUGAAAUAGAAUUAUACAAGAUUUUUCAUUUACUUUAAAUUUUUUAUUUUCGCUUAUUUUCACCAGAUAAUAUGUUGUUAUUAUUAUCAUUAUUAAAAACUUAUUUAAACACGUC